rnacentral:rRNA from 1 species
UACGUAGGGUGCGAGCGUUGUCCGGAAUUAUUGGGCGUAAAGAGCUCGUAGGCGGUUUGUCGCGUCGACUGUGAAAACCUACAGCUUAACUGUGGGCUUGCAGUCGAUACGGGCAGACUUGAGUUCGGUAGGGGAGACUGGAAUUCCUGGUGUAGCGGUGAAAUGCGCAGAUAUCAGGAGGAACACCGGUGGCGAAGGCGGGUCUCUGGGCCGAUACUGACGUGAGGAGCGAAAAGCGUGGGGGAGC